UAGUGAGUGGGGCAGACCCUGGGCUAGCAGGCCCCAGGGAGAACUCCAAUGGCAUCUGUGUCAGCAUGCCCACACCAGGCCACAACAAUGGCUGCCGCCAAUGUCCCAGUCCCUGGAGAGGUCUCACUUCUCACCAAGAUGCACACAGGGCCUAUUAGGUUCAACUUUGCUGCAUAAUUAAGAAUUUACAGCUUGGGCAAUGCUAAGAACCACAUCUGCGCUGAAAUCAAUUAUCUGCAUUUGGUGUGGACACUUUGAAAACGUCAAGGGAGAAGAUCCACCAAAAAAGCUGUGAUAAUCAAAGCUAAAUACCAUCAAUUCCUUCCCUCCCUGCAUGUAUAUACUGCUUCCCACAUCAAAUGAUGGAGUCUAGUUUCCCUUUUCUUGAAUCUUGCCUGGAUUUAGUGACUUGCCUUUCCCAAUAGAAUGCAGCAAAGUGAUGUCGUUCGAUUUUCAAACUAGGUCAUAAGAAGCUUUGUAGUUUCUGCUGGAUUGCUUAGUCUACUUGCACUCAUGCUUUCCCUGAGAACCUGGCAGAAGCUAUAUGAGAGAGCUACAUGGAGAUGCCACAUGCAGAUGCUCUGGUCAACAGCUGUAGCUGAGCUCCCAUGUGACAUCCAGCAUGAACUGACCACCAUUUUGCAUGUCCUUCAGAUGACACCAGCACCAGCCACCAUUUGUUUGCAACCCCAUGAGAAACCUCAAGUGAAAAUCACCCAGCGGAGUCCAUUUGAUCCACAAAAAUGUGAGAAAUGAUCAUAAAAAGUGUUGCUUUGGGGCCGGCCUCAUGGCUUAGUGGUUAAGUGCGCACACUCUGCUGCUGGCGACCCGGGCUUUAGAUCCCACAC